AUUGACCUCGGAUCAGGUAGGGAUACCCGCUGAACUUAAGCAUAUCAAUAAGCGGAGGAAAAGAAACCAACUGGGAUUGCCUCAGUAACGGCGAGUGAAGCGGCAACAGCUCAAAUUUGAAAUCUGACCCCCUCGGGGGCCCGAGUUGUAAUUUGAAGAGGGUGUUUCGGGCGAGGGGCCGGCCUAAGUCCCUUGGAACAGGGCGUCAUAGAGGGUGAGAAUCCCGUAUGCGGCCGGUGACCGGACCCAUGUGAAACCCCUUCGACGAGUCGAGUUGUUUGGGAAUGCAGCUCUAAAUGGGUGGUAUAUUUCAUCUAAAGCUAAAUACCGGCCAGAGACCGAUAGCGCACAAGUAGAGUGAUCGAAAGAUGAAAAGCACUUUGGAAAGAGAGUUAAAAAGUACGUGAAAUUGUUGAAAGGGAAGCGCUUGCGACCAGACCUGUCGUCGGGUGAUCAGCCGUCGUUCUCGGCGGUGCACUCGCCCGUGCGCAGGCCAGCAUCGGUUCGGGAGGUUGGAUAAAGGCCCCGGGAAUGUAGCUUCCUUCGGGGAGUCUUAUAGCCCGGGGUGCAAUGCGGCCAGCCCGGACCGAGGACCGCGCUUCGGCAAGGAUGCUGGCGUAAUGGUCGUAAGCGGCCCGUCUUGAAACACGGACCAAGGAGUCUAACAUCUAUGCGAGUGUUUGGGUGUCAAACCCGUGCGCGGAAUGAAAGUGAACGGAGGUGGGAACCCCUCGAGGGCGCACCAUCGACCGAUCCAGAUGUUUUCGGACGGAUUUGAGUAAGAGCAUAGCUGUUGGGACCCGAAAGAUGAUGAACUAUACUUGAAUAGGGUGAAGCCAGAGGAAACUCUGGUGGAGGCUCGCAGCGGUUCUGACGUGCAAAUCGAUCGUCAAAUUUGAGUAUAGGGGCGAAAGACUAAUCGAAUC
rnacentral:rRNA from 1 species